GAGGAUCUUCCGCAUGCUUCCCUGGUCUGUCUGUCCAGAUGUCCACUCCCCUCAUGGAGAUACAGCUGCCCAUUGCGUCCUGCUCUCAAAGGUAGAGACAUAUCAAAAUUCAUCUCAAAGCAUCCUUGUGUUUUUAUCCAAUCAAGAAUGUUUAACUAGGUUUCAUAGCAAAAAAAAAUUAAUAUGAAUGUAAGAAAAAAUUCCAAUACUACAAAAAGAUAUUGAAACAUGUCCCUCCCACCUCAAAACUUGAGUCCCCCAGACUCCAUCCAGAAAGGAAUCUGCUGUCAACAAUUUCUUAAACAUCCUUCUAGAAAUUUCCAUAUACAUGAUUAUGCAACAGACACAUAAUCUCUUUAUAACAUAUGGGAGUAUAUUAUAUAUAGUUUGUCUUUGUUUCUACCCCUCCACCCUACACUUAAUAUUUAUUUGGAGAUCAUUCUAUCUCAGGACACAUUAAGUUUAGCUAGUUUUUUUUUUUUUAUUCAAUAGGUAAUUUGGUGUUUAAAUUGAGAUAAAAUCAAAUCAGUGACUUCCACAAUAAUUUUGACGAAUGGCAUAUACCUUGCAAGCAAUACUCCAAUUCUAUCACCCUCCCCCCAUGAGUUCUCCCUGUCCCUUCUAGCAAUCUGUUCCUCCCAUAGGCAAGUAAGCUAUGAUUUGUCACCAUGGAUUGGGUUUGUCUCUUGAACCUAAUAUAAAUGGAGUCACCCAGUACACAGUCUUUUGUGCCUGAUUUUUCCUGCUUAACAGAAUAUUUUUGAACAUCACUCCUGUUGCUGUGCAUAUCUAUUCAUUCCUCUUAUUGUUGUUGCUAAGUAGUGCUUUAUAGUAUGAAUAUACCAAAAUUUUUCUAGUCUUUGGUGACAUUUGGGCUAUUCUAGUUUGGGGCUAUUAUGGGUAAAGUUGUUAUACAUGCCUCUGUGCAAAUCUUUUUGGUGGGCAUGGGUUUUCAUUUCUCUUGGAUAUGUGCCUAAGAUUGAGCCUCAGUCUUUCUAAAAGCUGUGCAGUAUUCCAUUGUAAGUACGUACUGUAAAAUAAACAGUCCCCUAUUGAUGGACAUUCAGGUUGCUUCCAGUGUAUUGUUAAUGCUAUCAUAAAUGAUGCUGUGCAUAUAUUUUUUUUUGCAUAUGUUAUGCUGUGCAUCUAUUUUGUGAGAAGAAUGCUUUCCUAGAACAACAUGAUGCUCCAAGGGAUGUGUAUUUAAUUCUGGGAGAGAUGUUGCCUAAUGGUUUUCCAAAAGGCUGUGCCAAGGUAUGUUCUUAAGAACUGUGCAUAAGAGUAGAUCUUGGCAACCCUUAGCAACUCCAUGUAGAAUUAUAUUUUAAUC
rnacentral:lncRNA from 1 species